AAGGAAUCCUCCUGCCUCAGCCUCCUGAGUAGCUGAGACUACAGAGAUGAGAAAAAUGGAGGCUUUAUGAAAUCUCAUAUUGUCAGACAACGUGAGAAAUGUAGAUGAAAAUGGAAAGUGAUACUAGAUGUUGCAGUGUCAUCUGCCUUGAUAUUCAUUCACCUCUGCCAGAUGCUAGCACCGCCCGGGACUGGAAAUACAAAAUGAUCCAGCGAAAGUGCCCAGUGAGGGCAGAGAGGGGUUGGAGACAUCUCUGGCUCCCCUACAGAAAUGGCAGCCAACAGCGAGCCAUCCUUCUCUGGCUGCAACACUGCUCGCCCCGGACCUGCUGCAGCUGAUAUCCCGGCCCUGUCACGAAAGGCUGGCCAAGUGGAAGGAUUCCUGAGUGAACAGCAGGGUGCCAGCUUCAGGCCUCAGCCCUGUCUCCAGGGCAGAGUCACAUCUCCAGAGAUAAAGCCUGUCUCCAAGAAAGGCAGGGGAGCCAACUCUAGCCGCUUCUGUUGUCAGCCUGCUGCUAAGAAGAGAGAACAAAUGUAACAGUUUCCAGUGCUCUGCUAGUUUGGCUACAGCCAUAAACCUUUACAUCCGCUAAAUAAAAAACCCUGAAUACUUGGUUCUCUCUGCCAACAUUCUCUACCUCCUUCACUUCUGUGGUGGCCCUUUUUCCACCCAGGAAAAAGUAAAUAAA